rnacentral:rRNA from 1 species
UACGGAGGGAGCUAGCGUUGUUCGGAAUUACUGGGCGUAAAGCGCACGUAGGCGGCUUUGUAAGUUAGAGGUGAAAGCCCGGAGCUCAACUCCGGAACUGCCUUUAAGACUGCAUCGCUAGAAUCCGGGAGAGGUGAGUGGAAUUCCGAGUGUAGAGGUGAAAUUCGUAGAUAUUCGGAAGAACACCAGUGGCGAAGGCGGCUCACUGGACCGGUAUUGACGCUGAGGUGCGAAAGCGUGGGGAGCAAACAGG